UACGUAGGGGGCAAGCGUUGUCCGGAUUCAUUGGGCGUAAAGAGCGUGUAGGCGGCCAGGUAGGUCGGUUGUGAAAACUGGAGGCUCAACCUUCAGAGGUCGACCGAAACCAUCUGGCUAGAGUCCGGGAGAGGAGAGUGGAAUUCCUGGUGUAGCGGUGAAAUGCGCAGAUAUCAGGAGGAACACCGGUGGCGAAGGCGGUUCUCUGGGCCUGUACUGACGCUGAGGAACGAAAGCUAGGGGAGCAAACGGG
rnacentral:rRNA from 1 species